CUGAAAAAAAUGGACUUGGUGGGUCUUUGAAUUUAAAUAAAAUAAACAUGUAUAUGCAAAACAAAAUAUUUAUAUUCCUUGUGUAAACAUAAUUUAAUUGAUUAGGAUGAAAAUGUUUUGUUUGAAUGUAAAAUGAACACAUUAUUCUCACAUUGAUUAAAAUUGAUUGAAUUGAAUAGUUAAAACAAUAAAAUUGAGUAAGCAAACAAAACGGCACCUCCUGAGCAGCAGGGGCAGUAUAGCUCAAUGAAAAGGACGUCAACUGCCAUAAAAGAAGAAUAAACAUCGUUUGUUUUGGGCGCCAAAAUGAAGACUCAGCAGCAGUCAGUCAGAAGAACCCUCUCAGACGGACACCACGUUAUUAAAGUCCAUCAUCCUUUCAUACGCUACACACUCAAAAGCAUUGAUUAAUGCUGAAUUUAAAAGAAUCACUACUGUCUUAUGUUCCUGCGUGUCACCUGGACCUCCAAUCCAAAAACCUGAUGAAACUCUUCUAUCAGAAAGGAGGACAGCUAGCAAAAAGACUUGGAACAAUCAAUGAUCAAAUGACAGAAGGCAUGGAUGAAGUCAGCAUCAGUGAGGUCAUUUGAAGACACCAAUGUUGGGAUUUGUGCUCUCAAACAACAUGCUUCUUGAAGAAGAGGAUCUUUGUAUAGUCCUGGAAGGCAUGAAGGUGUUGCAACAUCGUGCCAUGUUGUUUGAGCUGAUAUAUGCCUUAAACCUGAGCUAUCCUGAUCUCCGCUUUAUUUUUGAGGAAAUCCAAAAGAUUUUAAUGGAACUGCAUUGAGCGUAACUUUAACCAACAGUUUCUUUCAGUGAAAGGAUCAGAAAGACUGUGCUGCUCAUUUAAAUUCUUUUUAUUUAUCUGUUUUAAGUGUUUUCUCUUAUUAAAACAUUAACAGUUAGCUGCUCAGAGUUGAUUUUGGAAAUGGUUGUUGUAUUUUGUUUUUGUUGAAUCUUUGAUUAUCAGUUUAUACAAAUGCUGUAGCUCUGACUUUCUGAAGGAUUGAUAUUUUCCAGUUUGUAAAUCCAUUUAAAAAAUAAUAGUACUUACUGUUUUGCAUGUCUCUUUGGAAUGCAGUGUUUGUGUUUUAGCACUUCUAAAUCUACUGUGAUAGUAACUAUUUUAAACAUUUGGGUCAGUUUUACAGAUGGGGCUUUUCCUAGUCCCAGACUUUUGCAAUGCCUUAAUUUGAAAACAUAUUGCACUGACAUAUCUUGACAUAUAUCAGUGCCAUUGUUUUGUCUCAAGAUGUAUUCCAGUGUUGUUUUUGUAAGGUAGGUUUGUUUGUAAACAUUUUUGGAAAAAAUAUUCUAAUAUAACUACUAGGGCCUAGUCAUGGCUUAAUCUACAACCUGUCUGGGAAAUUGCCCCUUUAUGUAUGUACUGCAUGUGCUGAUUGUUGUAAUAGUUAUUGACUGUUAAUGAAUUAAUGUGUAGUGAUUUAAAUGAAUUGAUGAUCUGAAAGCAGUGGUUUGCCUAAAUAUCACUAAACAUUUGUUCAAAACUCUUUGCUUUUUAUGCCAAUGCAAAUGUAUUUUGUAUUUAAAAAAGAAAUAAAUAACAUUUGGAUAA